rnacentral:lncRNA from 1 species
CCUGAAGGCACAAAAUGAAAUAUUUUAAGUCCAGGAGGAAAACACUCACAUUUGCAAUUAAUAAGCAGAUUUGUAUUGGGUGACUGAUACAUUUUAGGGAAAUAUUCAUCAUUAAUAUUGGUAGUGUGAUCGUGAUGCCUUCAUAAAUGAUGAGCUCCCUCCUACAUGGGGGACAGGAUGGGACGUCAAAAGGGGAGGAAUGGCCACAGUGUCCCUCUGUGGGUUUUCUCUUGCAAGGUAUUGUUCUCACCUUCCUCCACUCACAUCAAUAUUUAGAAGACCUGUCUUUGAAGUGGAGUAUGAAAAAGCGGCAUGACAUUUUGAGAUUUGGGGAAGAAUUUUCAAUUUGUUCUAAUUCUCAGCAGGUAUAAGAUGCCGGGAUGGUGGAGUGCCUGCAUUUAAGAGGAAGAUUUAUUGGGCUCACAGCAUCCACUAUGAACCUUCUACAACCACAUUAGCUAACAUCUGUUGGAAAAUGUCGAGAUGCAGGGCAGAAGACAUGCACGCAGAAUGGAUGCUUUCGUGAAUUGGAACAACAAACCGGAAACAUGGGGAAGCACUUGCAAGUUAAAUCAAUUAGUAAUAGGAGCUGUGUCUGCAUGGGCACACAUGUGCAUGCAUGAGGGGUAUGUGCGUGGGUGAAGGGGCAUGUGUGUGUACACAUAGGUACAUACAAACACACAUCCUUUCUAAUUAACAUCCAACCCCUGCAGAGUGGGAAGUGAAGUUUGAUUGGGUUCAGGAGCAGGGUAAUAAUAAUGGAACAGUUAAUACAAAUGAUGUCUGUGUUGACACUGCCCCGUUAGUAUUUCCUGGCAGAUUAUUUUGUUUGCUUUGCCUAAGUGCACAAGAUUAUAGGAGGUGAUUUAGUAGGCUAGGGCACUGGAUUCUGAAGGGAAGCCAAGCUAAUUUCAAUCACACCUACAACCAGACUGUUAAUCUUUGGGGAGUUACUGCACCUGUGCUGGCAAAGGUUAAGGGGCGAGAGAUUCUAGAAGGUACAGAUACAGCAAUUGUCCAGGGAAAGGGGUAGAGAUAGAAAGGACCCAUAAUUCUCUUAGGGGAUAAAUAAAAAGACAUUUCAAAAUCUGAAAAAUAUGCUUGUAGAUAAGUGGGAGAUAUACCACCCAAACAAACACAAAACAUGUUUCAAGGAAAUAUUGGUCAGGAGACAGCCAAGAGUGCUUGCUAACAGAUGAGAGAUAGUCAAAUGCACAUGAAAUAUAUUUAAGCAACACUACUUAUUACAUCCUUCUCCCUUCAUCACUGAGUAGUUUGGGCAUAUUAUCAAAUGUGAGUCCCACUAGGAGAAAAAUAACUAGGUGAGAUCGGGGAACCAAGGCUCUGGAUGAUAUUGGACAUUUUCACCUCAUCUCUGCCUUCCAAACCUCUCUGCUAUUCUCUUCCUAAAUCUCUGGUCAAAUAGGAGCAAAGCUAAUGAGAAAUUUCACUGGUGUAAUCAACUUCCCUCCAAAGACUGAUCUUCCCCUGUUGAACUCACUUGUAGGGGACCUUAGUCUAUCAUGCAUCAGGGGUCCACAGGUAUAAAAGUUUGCUUCAGGACCCUUAAUCCACCACUUUCUUCUCAGCGCAUCUCAGAG